rnacentral:rRNA from 1 species
GAUGAACGCUGGCGGCGUGCUUAACACAUGCAAGUCGAACGAAGCACUUUAGUUGAUUUCCUUCGGGACUGAUUAUUUUGUGACUGAGUGGCGGACGGGUGAGUAACGCGUGGGUAACCUGCCUUGUACAGGGGGAUAACAAUUGGAAACGGCUGCUAAUACCGCAUAAGCGCACAGCAUCGCAUGAUGCAGUGUGAAAAGCUCCGGUGGUAUAAGAUGGACGCGCGUUGGAUUUGCUAGUGGGUGAGGUAACGGCCCACCAAGGCGACGAGCCAUAGCCGACCUGAGAGGGUGCCCGGCCACAUUGGGACUGAGACACGGACCAAACUCCUACGGGAGGCAGCAGUGGGGAAUAUUGCACAAUGGGCGAAGGCCUGAUGCAGCGACGCCGCGUAAGCGAAGAAGUAUUUCGGUAUGUACAGCUCUCUGAGCAGGGAAGAUAAUGACGGUACCUGACUAAGAAGCACCGGCUAACUACGUG